rnacentral:rRNA from 1 species
UAAAGCGUCUGUAGGUGGUUUUUUAAGUCUACUGUUAAACCUUGAGGCUUAACCUCAAAUCAGCAGUAGAAACUAAAAGGCUAGAGUUUAGGAGGGGUAGAGGGAAUUCCAGUGGAGCGGUGAAAUGCGUAGAGAUUGGAAAGAACACCGAUGGCGAAGGCACUCUACUGGCCUAUAACUGACACUCAGAGACGAAAGCUAGGGGAGCAAAUGGGAUUAGAUACCCCAGUAGUCCUAGCCGUAAACGAUGGAUACUCGAUGUUGGACGUAUCGACCCGUUCAGUAUCUUAGCUAACGCGUUAAGUAUCCCGCCUGGGGAGUACGCUCGCAAGAGUGAAACUCAAACGGAAUUGACGGGGGCCCGCACAAGCGGUGGAGGAUGUGGUUUAAUUCGAUGCAACGCGAAAAACCUUACCAGGGUUUGAAAAAAGGUACGCUUUUUGAAAAGAAAGAUACUAAUCCCUUUUUACAGGUGGUGCAUGGCUGUCGUCAGCUCGUGUCGUGAGAUGUUGGGUUAAGUCCCGCAACGAGCGCAACCCUUGUUUCUUGUUCAAUCGUCUAGAAAGACUGCCGGUGAUAAACCGGAGGAAGGUGAGGACGACGUCAAGUCAUCAUGCCCCUUACACCCUGGGCUACACACGUCCUACAAUGGCUAAGACAAUAAGUCGCCAACUCGCGAGAGUGAGCUAAUCUUUUAAACUUAGUCUAAGUACAGAUUGCAGGCUGCAACUCGCCUGCAUGAAGGUGGAAUCGCUAGUAAU